GAGUUUGAUCCUGGCUCAGGAUAAACGCUGGCGGCGCACAUAAGACAUGCAAGUCGAACGGACUUAACCAUUAGUUUACUAUUGGAGCGGUUAGUGGCGGACUGGUGAGUAACACGUAAGCAACCUGCCUAUCAGAGGGGAACAACAGUUAGAAAUGACUGCUAAUACCGCAUAUACCUAAGUAACGCAUGUUACAAUAGGGAAAGGAGAAAUCCGCUGAUAGAUGGGCUUGCGUCUGAUUAGAUAGUUGGUGGGGUAAAGGCCUACCAAGUCGACGAUCAGUAGCCGGACUGAGAGGUUGAACGGCCACAUUGGGACUGAGAUACGGCCCAGACUCCUACGGGAGGCAGCAGUCGGGAAUAUUGCGCAAUGGAGGAAACUCUGACGCAGUGACGCCGCGUGCAGGAAGAAGGUUUCCGGAUUGUAAACUGCUUUAGACAGGGAAGAAACAAGACAGUACCUGUAGAAUAAGCUCCGGCUAACUACGUGCCAGCAGCCGCGGUAAUACGUAGGGAGCAAGCGUUAUCCGGAUUUAUUGGGUGUAAAGGGUGCGUAGACGGGAAAACAAGUUGGUUGUGAAAUCCCUCGGCUUAACUGAGGAACUGCAACCAAAACUAUUUUUCUUGAGUGCUGGAGAGGAAAGUGGAAUUCCUAGUGUAGCGGUGAAAUGCGUAGAUAUUAGGAGGAACACCAGUGGCGAAGGCGACUUUCUGGACAGUAACUGACGUUGAGGC
rnacentral:rRNA from 1 species